UCUGGCUCAGCAGAGUGUGAAGGACGUGGUUUGGGGAUAGAAAGCUGCUGGCACAGGACACCUGGGCUCCAACCAGGAAGGGUGUGAGAUUCACUCUGUCCUGGCCUUUGCUGACACUCAGGGAAAGGAACUAGAAAACUGGACUGCCAGCCCAUUGUAGGCUAGGCGAGGAUUUCUGCUCCGCAUUGGAUACACGCAGAGACACAGGGGCAAGGAAGCUUUAUUUCUGUACCUCCAAGAGCUUGCAGGAGAAAGAAGAUGCCACAAAAUGCAUUAGCCCUUGAUCCUUCAGCCAGGAAGUAAAAAUGAACUGCACUUUUCUCUGUACCAAGCUGAACUGAAGCCUCAUUCUUUCUACACAAAUCAUAAAGUAGAAUAAAAAUGAAGCAAGUAUUUUGAAGAAGACCACUUUGCUGAUAUUUUUCUAUAAACAUUUUUACUUUCCUACUGAUAAGCAGGCUAGGAAACACAGCCUCCGGCUACAGAUAAUCUCUCUUUUCUCUGUCAAAGAUUCUUAAAUGAUUUUUAAGGAACCUUAUUCCAGUUUAACAAAGCAUGUCUAAAAAGCAGUUACCAGACCAAACCCAUGAUUUGAUCCUCUCUGAAACAAUAAUCGGUCAGGGCCUUAUAAGUAGCAUUGACAAUUUCCACUGAAAUUCUUCCUGAGCUGCACAAGCUUCUAACACUCUUAAGAAGUGUGGUGUAUAAAUAAUGUCCUCAUUCCCAGCAAUUCACAUUUAUUAUCCUAAGGUGAAAAUAUGGUUAUUAAACCAAUGUGCUUUGUACCUUGUUUAAGCUUGCACCAAUUUACUCUGAUUAUGAUGAUGAGAAAGUUGAGUCUAUGUUAGUAUUUUAGAUCAGUGGAAAGUUGUUUUUUUUUUUAAUUUCAGGGCAAGAAAAUAUUAACUUAGCUGUUGAGAAAUGACAUGCUCAAACAUUGCCUAAUUUGAAGAGUUCAAACUUGUUGAAACUUAUUUUAUUGUAUGCCUUUUGGAACCAAAAGUGAGUUGAAUAAUGCUUUUGGCAACAACAUGAGCAGUAAGGUGGGUACAGUCCUGACCUCUGCUCACUGGAAUCUUAUAUCAGAAGCCUCAGUGUACAUCUCGUUUUCUUGAGUCAGCACAAUUUGAGGUUUAAGAGAAAAUAAAAUGUAGCUGCUUCUUUUAUUCUUUUUGGAAUGUGGGAGAUCCUCAGUUUCUAUAUUCUUGAAGGUUUUGGUGUCACGGAAGGGGACAAAGAAGCAAGAAAUAAAGGUUUGCCCAGAAACUCAGAUCAACAUAUGUCUGCAUUAGGAGAUUGUCUUGGGGUAGUUAUCAGUAUGACACCAGAGGCAAAGACACUAGAAGCUGUUGGAAUUAAAAGGAGAACUUCUCAUGAGCAAUAUCCUAAUAAUACAAAGAAAUGGACAGAUAUGAUAAGUAAUUUACAAUUGAUUAAGCUAUCCUAGGAAAGAGGUAGAGUGAAAUGAUUUUUGUUGAUUGUAAUUUCUCUGCCAAAACCAGUUACAAUUUAGCCAUGUUAUAUUACUUAAUCUUCCCAAACAUCACGUGAUAUAAGCAUUAUUAUCCCUCUAUACAGUUGAAAGAACUAGGUUAAAGGUCUUAAAUAACUUUUCCUAGUUUAUACAAGGAAAGUUAAUAGAUCUGGAAUUUGAACAUAGGGCUCUCUGACAUCAAAGUUUAUAUUUAAUAUAUAAACAGAGAGAUAGACAGAUGAUAGAUACAUACAUACAUACAUACACACCUGCAUACAUACUUUCCUGAUGAUAUAUGGCUCAUGGAUUAUAAAGGAAAAUGAUAAAUUAAGAGUGGAUCUGACAUGUUAGUUUUGUAUAUGGUGUGAGGUAAGGAGUUUUCUUCCUGAUGAAUAUUCAGCUGAGCCCUGCAAUAUUUUUCAAGUUAAAAUCAUGCUUUGUCAUAUAAUGUAUUUUCAUAUAGGUUUCAUUACUAUUUCUAGAUAUUUAUUUCCAUUCUACUUCAUAUGUCUGGAGAUAUGUCUAUAACAUACUCUUUGAUUACUCUGUAUUUAUAUUUUAGUGACCAUAGGGGGAAGAUCAUCUAUUAUUCCUCAUAUUGUUUCAGUUGUAUGUCAGGCUCUUCUUCAUAGAGGCUAAUAUCAUUGUAUUUCAUUUAAAAAAUAAUACUCAAACUAAAAUUGUGAAC
rnacentral:lncRNA from 10 species